rnacentral:lncRNA from 1 species
AUUAAAACAAUUAAUAACGAUAAACACGGAGAAUCACAGAUACAAGCAUAAAAUAAAGUAUAAGAACAAAUUAGAUCUCACAGAAUAUCUUGCUAGUGCUUCCCUAAUCGUUGCUGGAAUAAACGAAAUUAACUAAAACUCAUACAAAAAUAAAUAAAGAAAAUAAAAUAAAAGUGGCGAGAAAUAAAAGAAAGGAAAAACUUGAAUAAUUUGCUGAAGUUCACGUCCCCAGGCUGCUCUCUAAAAAGUGGCGUUUUGUGUCUUAUUUAAAAAACAACUAAUGCUAAUAUAUAUAGCACUAAUAAUAAAGAAACCUAAUCUAACCUAAAAGGACAUAAAAUAGGCGCAUAGGCCCAAAACAAUAUAGAUAAGCCCAAUAAAAGUCAAAGUAGGUAGCCACGUAAUCACUCUUCUCGCCACUUCAACGAACAAUCAAUUCAGUUUGGAUAUUCAGGCGGUAUGGGCAUCCCGUCCAGUAUACACGCACAACUUUCUCUUUUCAUCUUCACGACUUAAUAAACUCUUCCCAAAACUGAGCCUUUUUUCCAAAAGCUAUCAAAAACCAUCAAAAAGAUUUAUUAGUUCCACAAUUAACUCCAAAAGAUAAUAAUAAGCAGGAACUAUGCAUUAAAAUCAACCAAAAACAUUCAAAAUAUGUGUAUAAAAUACGCUCAAUCAAACUUGUACUGCCAAACAGUAACACACAGGGGUUUUCUUGAAAGACAUGUGUUUACUAAAACAUUUCUUUCAUUUUCAUAAAGUCGACUGGCCAGUCACUGAAGGAUUAUAGCCCCAAAAGGAUCGUUUCUCGAAUAUCUUAAUUCACCAUACAACGAUUAAUUCCUAACAUGCUCCUAUGAAUUUAAGUGCUGCACAUUGGAGUUAGAAUCACUUACUUGUGAAUUGUAUGUAGAUACUGUCGAUGGCUGAAUUGAAAUAUUCCAGUUCUGACCUUCUGAACUGUAUCCGGUAUCCCGCUCAACUCCCAACGUUGGAUGGACAACGAGCUAUGAGAAUUCCCAAGAAGAAUUCGGCCACUUACAAACGGCGCCCUCUACUACUCUCUAAAACCCUGAUUAUUUGUGUGUCUUAUCCUGAGAGCAUAUAGCUGUAUUUAUAGACAAAACAUAGUCCUAGGACACCAAUAACUGUAGUGGGAGAAUUUUACUCCUACUGGGCUCAGAAGACUUUGGGCCAGUCCAGGGAUCAGAUACAAGAAAUAAAGAUGGGCUUCUAAUGAAUUAAUUCUUAUGAUCAGCCCAGAUCAUAAUUAAUUCAUAAGUAUUAAUUCAUUCCACUAGAGAAUCAAUACUGACUUACCCCUUUAUUACCAAUGAUGAGUCGGGGCUUGUAUUUAGACUUAUUAAAUCUACGUAUUUAAAAUAUCCGACAUCCAUUAAUUAAUUAAAGCUCUGACAACUUAAAUUAAUUAAUCUUUUUAUAAUCCUUAAGCAGUACCACUCAAACCUUAUUAUUGCGCCUGAACUUAAUCAACCUGCAGGGUUUAACGCAAUAAACCUUAUUGAGUUCCUUAAGGGGAUGUCAUUAUCCUAUACCGGAUACGGGUACUAAUACAGAUAACCAAAUAUCAUAUAUUGACCGCUAUCACCCAAGAUACAGAGUACUCAGGUUAAUAUAUAACUCUCACCCAUAGUAAAUCAAAGUGAUACACGAAUCAACAUAUAUAUCUGAAAUCUUAUUAGUAUUAAGAUUCUAUUAAGUCACCGAGAUCUUGAUUCUUCAGUUAUGUCAGAUAGAAGAAUACAUCUCACUGUGAUCCUAUCAAUACGUUAUGACGUACCAGUAUAUACAAAUAGUCAAGACAAACUAUUUCCAUAUAUACUGCAGCCUAGACCAACGACUCGUCCUAGAGUCAUCUCGGUUGUGAUCUAUUUAUAUCUCUUAAGUUUAUUCCAAUCAUAUGACCUUCUGUGAUCCGUUAAUCACCAUAUAAUUAACUUAUGUAGAGAUAAAGGACAUACAUAUGCAAUCAUGAACACAAUCAGAUAGGAGAGUAAAUAGUGAACACAGGAAACAUUGUAUACAAGCAUAAAACGUUCUUGCUUUCAGUAUACAAAUCCAACAGUCACAUUUUCCUUUCAUAUGUUCCAUAUCUGUCUUUUCUGUCACGCGCCGGGGAUGAGGCCUCCUUCCACGGACGCCGAGACCGGUCGCAAGCGACUUGCGGUCUCCAUGAGUGUCCACGUUAAUCCGUACUAGCAUACCUUCAUCUAGCAUAGGGUCCCAAUUGGAUUUCCUUUAAAGUUGGCGAACCAACACAGAUAGGAUACAUACGUAAAACAUAAAUAUUUUUGGCAGACAAUCAUUUCAUAAAUAUUUCAUAUCAUUUCAUAAAGAGCCAUUCAUCAUUUGAACUUUAUAUAAAGCUGAAAUUAGCAGUUAAAUCAUCUCAUGCAUAUAUUCGGAUAAGAGGCCUACGAUACGCAGGGGAUCUCUAUAUACGUAUAGUAAAAGUAAUGCCCACCUGAAGAUCUUAGCUUACUCUCAUAGCACUCGAGGCGAACUCACUUCCGUCCUCUACUCGUAUCUUCUGAUAUCAUAACAUCGAAGAUAAUCCAUGGGCUAAGAUAAAAGAAAUCGGUUAGGAACCUUCUUACUAAGAAUGCUCUUCAUAUCUUAGUACUAUUCUGUCACUCCUCAUUACUACACUCCAACUAUCUCAAUCUCAUAAGUAUAACGCUACUUAAGUAAUCACUAAUGCUACUCUCGACUUGUCGCUCAUAUAGAACUAAACUACAUCAACAAACAAACACAUAGAUAUGCAUACACAUAAGCAAUAUAAAUCCCAAAUUAGUCAUUGGAAAAACUAAUCAAGUUUAAUAACAUCUAUGCAAUCAUACUUCAAAACUUUUUGUAAAAUCGAAAAAUAUUUUUAGUUGGAGAAAAUUUUCCAAAAAUUUAAUGUAGAAAGUCAAAGACACAUAAUAACACAUUCUUAAAUCAUUUAUCCAAUAAUAAUUCACAUUAACAAGUUAUUCCACUUUAUAAUAUUCUUGAUAAACUAAACUCUAGAUUUCUUCGUUGAAAAUUCUCAAAAAAUUCACAUUAAGCUCACAUAAUACACAAUAGCACAAAUGCGUGAUCAAACGACUUAAGAAAAAUUAAACUCGGCUUCCCCUUUUCUCAUCACAUUUGGUCAAGACCUAAAUCCUUAGGGGUUAGUUCGUUUCGUCUCAUAUCGCAUACAUAAGCUCAAUUAAUCAUCAAAUAGCCAUAUAUAAUCAUAUUCAAGACAUAACUCUUCACAUAUGAAAGAUCUCAUACAAAUUAACGUGCAAACUAAACUCGGUGAACUUUCACCAUUUAACAAUGUUACUCAAUUAAAUCAUGCUAUCAUCCUUUAUAAGGUCCAAUUAGCAUAUAGACAUAAAUAAUCUAAACAUUUACCUCAUAAAUCAAACAUACCCAAAUCUUAGUAAACUAAACUCAAGCAAGUUUAUACAUAUCCAUCAAUUAACUAAAUUGAUCAUUAAUGAAUAGUCCUAUCAUGCUUAUAAUCAAUUAACCUUAGCCAAUUUAAUCAUUUAACACAUAAAUUAAAAAGUCUCAAUUUUAAGUAAACUAAACUUUUUGGAAAUCUUUAAUCAUGCAUAAAUCAUCAAUCAAACUUUAGAUCUAUCAAAUUAUCCCACUUAAUUACAUAUAAAAACCAUCAAUUAGCAAAUUAAAGCAUAUAAGCAAAUUUGCCCAAAUUCUAUCAAACUAACUCACAUCAAACUUCACCAAUCGAUCUCAAUCAUUAAUCCAAUCCAUUAAAUAUCAUAUUAGCAUCCUCAAUAACACAUAUCAAUCAUCAAUUCAUCAAUCAAUACUCAAGAUCAAAAAUUCUCAAAAAUAGGUAAACUAAACUAACUCAAAAUCCAUAAUUCAUUUUAAAUCCUUUCUUUGCAUAUAGAAAUAGACUCAAUAGGAUCCUAAUUGCUUAAAUAUCACCUCAAUUUAAGAAAAGAAAAAGAAUUUUUUUUAAGGGCAUGAACCCUAAUUUUCAAAAAUUUUAAAGAAAUAAAAAGGGUGGUGUUUUCUUGCUUGAUCUAUCCAUAUACACUCAUAUCUAACACAAAUAUAACUAGAUCUAAGAAAUUAGAACACUUACUCAAAGAUUUAGAGAGAAAAUGAAAAUUCUUUACUCUAGACUUCAAGCUUUAAUCUCCACCAAUCUUGGUCUUUGAGGCAUGGAGAUGAGUUUUGAUUUGAUUUUAGGUGGAAAUCUAAGUAUAGAGUUGAUCUUAGAAGCUUUGAAGGUCUCAACAAUGGAGGUUCAUGGAAGAGAAAAGAGAGAGAGAUGCGAGAGAGGUGAGGGGCGUGAGGUAUGAGAGGAGAGAGAGAGAAUUUUGAUUUUGCUUAAUCCUAAAGCUUGCUCC